UGGGGCGUAGCCAAGUGGUGGUAAGGCAUCGGGCUUUGGUCCCGCGAUUCGGAGGUUCGAGCCCUCUCGCCCCAG
rnacentral:tRNA from 1 species